UACGUAGGGUGCAAGCGUUAAUCGGAAUUACUGGGCGUAAAGGGCGCGUAGGCGGCCGUGUAAGUCACUUGUGAAAUCCCGGGGCUCAACCCCGGGGCUGCAGGUGAGACUGCGUGGCUAGAGCACGGUAGAGGCGAGUGGAAUUCCCGGUGUAGCGGUGGAAUGCGUAGAUAUCGGGAAGAACACCGGUGGCGAAGGCGGCUCGCUGGGCCGUUGCUGACGCUGAUGCGCGAAAGCGUGGGGGAGCAAACAGG
rnacentral:rRNA from 1 species